CAAAUACUCCCUCCGUUCCGAAUUACUCGUCAUAGAAAUGAAUGUAUCUAGAUAUAUUUUAAUUAUAGAUACAUCCAGUUCUGUAACGAGUAACUUAAAACGGAGGAAGUACAAG
rfam:Triticum urartu cultivar G1812 contig932764, whole genome shotgun sequence.